CUUUCCUGAGUUCAACUCCAGUGCAAUACUGGCAUACUCCCAAAGAAAUACGUCUGCUCUGGAGUCAUCUUUUUUCAAUUUUUAGGUGGCCAACUAACGACUGCUGGAAUGGUAAUCAGCGGGAUGACUUCUUCUUGGUUCCAUUCUCUUCUUACAGCUGGGAAAAGUGGCAUGCCACCUUUCCCAAGGAGAUUCCUUGCCCGUUCACUUGCGGUUAUGUUGUCGUUGAGAGUUAUACAAUCUUCGCCAGUAGUAUAGGACUUGAACGAGGCCAGCGCACCCCCAAAAAAAAAAAAUUGACCCCCAAAAAAUUACCCUCAUUUCAAGUAAAAGAGCCCUAAAUUUUCAUAAAAAAAGCAAAAAACACCCAAAAAACACCAAAUUUUCUUACUCCCCAAAAAAAAUUUUUUUUUUACUUUUUUAUAAAAAAAAACAAUUAAAAACACAAAAAAACAAAAAAUUCCAAAAAAAAAAAUAAAAAAAACCGGGAGAACAGGCAGAGAAAGAAUUCUGUGGGAUUUAAGAGAAAAAAAUUUCCCCAGUGCGCCCC
rnacentral:lncRNA from 1 species